ACGACCUUACUUGAACAGGAUCUGUUCUAUAGGUUGUACAACUGUGUCCUUGAGUUCUAAGGAGACAAGAACCAAAGUCUGGUGGAUGAAUUGCUACCUUGUGACUAGAGCGUGAUUAGUAACCAAUGGGCCUCGGUCCGGUGGUUGUAGGGGAUCGUUCUCAGCAAGCUUCCAACCUGCUGGGAUGGUUGCAAGGUGGUCUGACAGACU